AAUUUUUCAAAUCAUAUAUUAAGUGACACUAUCUCAAUAGCAUUAUUUAAGUAUACAAUACUAAAAAAAUUAACCACCCCACAUCACAUUAUGAUCAAAGAAAUCGUGGGGGGCAAAUACUCAUCCUCAUCGAAUAUAGCGCUUGUCUCGUUAAUUAGAAGUUUUGAAGAUUACACCAACCACAACCACCAAAAACAUAUGUUUUUCUGGCACAUUAUCUUCAAUUUAUGAAGUUUGAGGUGGUGCUUUUUGAGGUUGGUGUGGUGAUUGCACUAUUUAUCUUCUUUUCUUUCUUUCUUUAUUUUUUAUUUACAAAAAGCACUACUUAUCUAUAGUUGUAAUUCAUCCCGCAUGCGUAUUAAUGUAUUAUCCUCGUGCUGUCUUUUUCGUCCUGCUUUAUGCUAUGAUCAUAUGGUAUUUUUUUUGCAUCUACAUUUUCAAUCCUCUUACGAACAAACCUUUUUUUCAUGCUAUAGAAAAUGUAUUUAGUUGAAUAUGGAAGAAAAAAAAAAAAGCUAAUGAAACUCAAAUUUUGUUGUUGUGUCUUUAAUCUUAAUUAUAAAUCAAAUUACAAGAUUUUAAUAGGUCCAUUUAUUUAAGAAUUUUUUUAAAAUGAUUUUUAUAUCUUAUCUUUUUGUUAUAAUAAUUUAAAAAAAAAUUAAAAAUAAAGCUUCAAAUGAAAAUUUUGUUUAAAUAGUUUAUUUUAAAAUAUCAUUUUAAGUAUUCAUCUAUUUGAUACUUUUUUUUAAAUAAUAAAAUUUUAAAAAUGUUUAAAAUAAAAAGUUAUUUUGAGAAACUCUUCACAAAAAUUAUUUUUAAAAGAUACAUUUUUUUUUUAUAAAAUGUGAUUUUUAUCGUGUUAAAAUCUUUAAUAAUAAAUAUUUAAAUUCUUCACAACUUCUACUAUUUUUAAGUGAAUUUUCAUAAAAUUAUUUUUUAAAAAAUAAAAUCAAAAUAAUUCUUUAAAAAUCUUAAACAAAUAGACUCAAUAGUCACUUUAUUUUAGAUUAAAUAUAUGUAGUGAAUUAAUGGUUAAAAUAUUUCAGAUGGAGAAAAAUAUUUUACAGAGGCUCAGAUGUGUAUCAAUAGGUGUGGUGUUGUGAAUUGUCACAACAUUUAUUUGUAUGCAACGUUCUCUAAUCAAAUUAGCUCUCAUGUUCAUUUUUGUGUGGCUUAUUCAAUAAGAGUAAAAGACUUUGAGAUUGUUUGAUUGUGGUCUGGUUGGCCAAUACUUGGAGAAUUUGGUGCAUAAGAAACCUUAGUAUUUUUAAGCAAUAAGAGUGUGUUGAUCAUUCUUGUAGAUCUUAUUAAUAUGUUGUCUUGAUCUUGACUCCAAUACAAUGUCAAAAGUUUUCAGGUUGAUUUGCAUUAAUGAUAGAUCAAUCCCAUUUUUUGUUUGUAUUUGUUAGGUGUCCAGAGGUUGGGUAAUCUCAACCCAUAUUUUGGUGGUAGAGUUUUACUUAAAAUCUUAAACUCUUUAAUGAUUAAUCAUUAUACGUUAUUUUUUUAUUUGGGUCAUAUAUUGU
rnacentral:lncRNA from 1 species